rnacentral:misc_RNA from 1 species
CCAAUAGCGUAUAUUAAAGUUGUUGUGGUUAAAAAGCUCGUAGUUGAACCUUGGGCCUGGCUGGCCGGUCCGCCUCACCGCGUGUACUGGUCCGGCCGGGCCUUUCCCUCUGUGGAACCUCAUGCCCUUCACUGGGUGUGACGGGGAAGCAGGACUUUUACUGUGAAAAAAUUAGAGUGCUCCAAGCAGGCCUAUGCUCGAAUACAUUAGCAUGGAAUAAUAAAAUAGGACGUGCGGUUCUAUUUUGUUGGUUUCUAGGACCACCGUAAUGAUUAAUAGGGACAGUCGGGGGCAUCAGUAUUCAAUUGUCAGAGGUGAAAUUCUUGGAUUUAUUGAAGACUAACUACUGCGAAAGCAUUCGCCAAGGAUGUUUUCAUUAAUCAGGGAACGAAAGUUAGGGGAUCGAAGACGAUCAGAUACCGUCGUAGUCUUAACCAUAAACUAUGCCGACUAGGGAUCGGACGGGAUUCUAUGAUGACCCGUUCGGCACCUUCCG